GUGGGGAAUCUUCCGCAAUGGACGAAAGUCUGACGGAGCGACGCCGCGUGAGUGAAGAAGGCCUUCGGGUCGUAAAGCUCUGUCAUCAGGGACGAACGGCCGGUGGAGUGGAAAGCCACCGGAUUGACGGUACCUGAGAAGGAAGCCACGGCUAACUACGUGCCAGCAGCCGCGGUAAUACGUAGGUGGCAAGCGUUGUCCGGAAUUAUUGGGCGUAAAGCGCGCGCAGGUGGGAUCUUAAGUCCAUUUUUAAAGUUCGGAGCUCAACUCCGUGAUGGGAUGGAAACUGGGAUUCUUGAGUACCGGAGAGGAAAGCGGAAUUCCCCGUGUAGCGGUGAAAUGCGUAGAUAUGGGGAGGAAUACCAGUGGCGAAGGCGGCUUUCUGGACGGUGUCUGACACUGAGGCGCGAAAGCCAGGGGAGCGAACGGGAUUAGAAACCCUUGUAGUCC
rnacentral:rRNA from 1 species